CUGGAGACAGGUGCUGCAUGGCUGUCGUCAGCUCGUGUCGUGAGAUGUUGGGUUAAGUCCCGCAACGAGCGCAACCCUUGCCUUUAGUUGCCAGCAGUUCGGCUGGGCACUCUAAAGGGACUGCCGGUGUUAAACCGGAGGAAGGUGGGGAUGAUGUCAAGUCCUCAUGGCCUCUAUGACCAGGGCUACACACGUACUACAAUGGCCGAUACAAAGGGCAGCGACACUGCGAGGUGAAGCCAAUCCCGUAAAAUCGGUCUCAGUCCGGAUUGGAGUCUGCAACUCGACUCCAUGAAGUUGGAAUCGCUAGUAAUCGUGGAUCAGCAUGCCACGGUGAAUACGUUCCCGGGCCUU
rnacentral:rRNA from 1 species